AUGUCAAAACGGUUACUAUGGAUCUCAAUGCACUGAUAAAUGUCAUUGCUUGAAUGAUGAACCAUGUGAUAAACAGGUUGGAGAGUGCCUUGAGCAGAAGUGUGCUGUAGGAUACAAAGUACGCAGUGGCCAUGUCAAAUGUCAAGAGUGUGAAGGGGGUACCUUUGGCUUGGAUUGUCUUCAGCAAUGUCAUUGUGCUCAAGAGGCUUGUGAGACAGAGAGAGGUCUUUGCCAGGGACAAUGCAUUGAUAGCUGGAUUGUACCUAGCUGCAGUCAAAGAAUAUCCAGAUUGGUUCCAGUGAGAGUGAACCCAUACCAGCCAUCUAACUUCACAUGUUAUGUCGAGGGUAUCCCACUUCCCAAUGCAUCCUCAGUUGAUCUUUACAGACGUACUGGAAGCACCAAUAACAGGACAGGAAUCACCAGGGGAUCUAGCACUGUCUCGAGGUCAGAACGAGCUGUUGUCUUUGAUGUUGAUAGUGUGUAUCCACAGGAAUAUGGGGAAUACCUUUGCAUUCUUACUGUUGAAGGUGAAGGCUAUCCAAGUACGCCAAAUACCAACCCAACCUAUGGUGAGCAAACUUUUCUGAACUUUCAUGUUAAAUGAAGAGGCAGGCACAUG